rnacentral:rRNA from 1 species
AUGCAGAUAUAUCAAAUGUUUGCUUUUACCAUUGCAAGUUUUAUGCGGAGGGUGCCGACUCGGUUUCGUCCGAGCCCCCUUCAAUCUUUUUCAUGUUCCCUCCACUCUUUGGCUUGUGCUCUCGCUUGUCGGACAGCCGCUCUGCGGUCUGUGGCUGAGAGUGGACCGCGGAGUGGAGUGUACAAUACUCAGACUCUGGGAGCAAACUUAACCGAGCAGAUACUCAUAAUGGAGACGGCCGGGUCACCCGAACCGUUUUUCUUCCCGAAUGUUUUUCGCGUGGGUGGCCUCCAGCAUUCACCCUUGCUAGCCGGACAGCCGCUCUGCGGUCUGUGA